rnacentral:rRNA from 1 species
GACAGAGGGGGCAAGCGUUGCUCGGAAUUACUGGGCGUAAAGGGCGCGUAGGCGGGAUGGCAAGUCGGUCGUGAAAUCCCUCGGCUCAACCGAGAAACGUCGAUCGAUACUGCUGUUCUUGAGGAUUGCAGAGGAGACUGGAAUUCCCGGUGUAGCGGUGAAAUGUGUAGAGAUCGGGAGGAACACCGGUGGCGAAGGCGGGUCUCUGGGCAAUUCCUGACGCUGAGGCGCGAAAGCGUGGGGAGCAAACGGG